rnacentral:rRNA from 1 species
UACGGAGGGGGCAAGCGUUGUUCGGAUUUACUGGGCGUAAAGGGUGUGUAGGCGGCUGGAUAAGUCUGGUGUGAAAUCUUCACCGCUCAACGGGAAGAGGUCACUGGAAACUGUUCAGCUUGAGUAUGGUAGAGGUAAGCGGAAUUCCUGGUGUAGCGGUGAAAUGCGUAGAUAUCAGGAGGAACACCGGUGGCGAAAGCGCCUGUCUGGCCCAAUACUGACGCUGAUGCGCGAAAGCUAGGGGAGCAAACGGG